GGGUCAAUGAUGAUACACUUUCUGUCAUGAAGAAUGGUGAUGACAUAAAAAUCAUGCUCAAUAGGAUUACGCUGAGGCCC
rnacentral:snoRNA from 1 species